CAGAGUUUAGCACAGUAGCCCUUUUUCGAAGGUCCCUCAUUCCCAUUCUCACUUUAGCUUCUGAACUCUUGAGAGAGAGAGAGAGAGAGAGAGAGAGAGAGACUUCGUCGGUUGGAUCUCAAUCUCAAUCACUCAGUGACAGCAGUUUCUCCCUCUCUCUCUCUCUCUCUCUCUCUCUCACACACACACAAACCCAAGAAUGAAGAUGAUGCAAAUUGGCUUUCUUUUUUGUUGCGUCAGCUACACAAUUCUUGUCAACGGGAAUUCCAUUUAUAUUAAAUGCGUGGAUCGUCAGGCACCUUUCAGUUUAGGACUUUACGCUCUAUGGAGUACAAUUUCUUCUUUUUGUCACCUGUGUACUGUUUCUCAGUCGUGAGGGAGUUCGGUGAGCAAUCCUGCGGGCAGACAUGAAAAGGCUCUGCAUGCAUUUUUUGAACUACUGGCAGAGCCCUUGUAUAUACUUUCUCAGAACUUGCUUCUGCUUAAACUAAGGCUAGUAGUUGAGACAGUUGCUACUCUUUCCCACUGCAUAACAAUGUUCAUUCUCAUUGUCAAGCAAACUGGCAUGAGUAAAGAAUAAGAAGCAUUAUGACGGGGAGCUGUCUGACAUGUGUAAGUUGUUUACACUUCGAUCCUUCAUGAAGUUGAUCCUUCAAGAAGGACAAAGUCUUGUCCUUUUAUGGUGGGGGACAUAUUAUAACCAAGCUGUAUGUGGACUUGUGGACAAAUUAGGGAGCCUAGUGGUGAGGCUGGUGUUUCUUCCUUUUGAAGAAAGUUCCUAUGCUACAUUUGCCAGGUCUGCAUCGGGUUUGCUUUCCUCCUUUGUUUACUUGAUGGUUCUUUUGAUGUUAUGUUGAGUUUGGGUUAAUUUCUUCCUGCUUUUGUUUCUUGCCAUGUGAGUUACAAAUGAUUCUUUACAUAAGCUAUAUGCACACUUCAAAUUUGGUUUGUAUCCAUGGAGGAAUUUCCAUGGUUCCAUUAAUAUUGCAUCAUGCAGUGCUAAAUCUAACAAACUUUAAUUUUCCAAUAAUACCUUUCGUUGACAGGAAAGGACCCAAAUAAAGACAGGAGGAUAGGAAGCAGCCUUACAGAGGCCCUUAAACUGGUUUUGUUUGUAGGUGCAUGCGUGUGUGCAUUUCAAUUUCCUUUUCUCCUUUGUUUAUAAAGAUCAAAAUUAUAGACAUAUAUUUUGAUAUAUGUGCAUAGUCUUGAUCUAAUAAGUAGCCAAGUUGAUUAUUGUAAUAGCAUCUCAGUCGUUUAGACCACAUAUGAAUCUAUGAUGAACAGAAUCCAAGGGACACAAACAACCUAGAAAAUAUCUUUUAGAAAAGAAAAUUUUACCAAGUUAAUCGUAGCAUGCAGAUAUGCAGACACUGCAUGUUAUGUUGUAACAGAGAGAUCAGGUAGUGAAAAUACUUGUAUUAGCCUUUGAUUCAUUGUAUAAUGAGUAGAUUAAAAGAUCUGAUUUUGAUACAUUAUGAAAUAGGACAAGUGAUGAUCACAAAAGGAGCAAGAUAAUUAUCUAUAGUAGGAAUUGAUAUUUGUUCUUUUCUUGAAGUCAUCUUCUUUAUUUGUUUCCUUGGUCUCAAGAUGCCCAGAUAUCCUGUUGGUAUUGUAUUUAUGGUGUUUGGUCCAAGUUAUGCUUAUUCUCUCAUCAGAUUGUUGUACGGACAGAAAUGGAGUGAUGUGGAAGCAUCAACAGCCCUUCGAUAUUAUUGCAUUCAUAUAAUUGUUUUGGCUAUGAAUGGUGUGUAAUGCGCUGAUUCUUCUUGUCAAUAUUCGCAGGCAUAUGAGCCAUAGAGGAAUAUCAAGCAACAUGUACUUGAGUUAAUGAUUUUUCUAUUUUAUGGGUCUUUAUGAUUUCUUUAUUCUAUUACUAAUUAAGGCAUAAUAUUAAUGAUAUAUGAAAUUUUAUAUGGCUACUUCCCUUCGAAUGAUGAAUUCCCUUAUUUUUAAAGUAAAGGAAUUCGUAUUAAGAUGUAGUAAGACGCCAAGGACUAGGAUACUAAAGCGGUGGUGAUUGUUUGAAAAAAUAAAUCGUACGCGUGUCCAAAUCCAUUGACAAUCUGCUAAAGUCUUUCAUUUGGAACUGGUACCCCUUUUCUAUCAUCAAUUUUUGGUUGUAUCUGGUGUUAACUUAAAGAUCUUACUGCUGUUCCUUAAAGGUAUCAAGCUAGAACUGAGAUUGUGCUUUGGUUUUACAUCAGGAACAUUCUGAAUCUUUUCUACAUGCCGUUGCAAAAGAGAAGCAACUAGUAAGGUCAAACCUUUCAUCGUUUCUGUUCGCAAUAAGACAUGUAGUACUGAAUAUCCUGCUGAUCAACUCAGCUGGUGCAGUUGGCUUAAUUUUGGCAAACUCAGUAAGUAUUCUUUUCUUAGUUUAGGCAGUUUUCUUAAGGUUCGUUUGGUAAAGCUUUUGCCUUAUAUUUUCUGUUACUUUUAAAAAUUAAAGUCACUAGUUAUUUUUCAUUUUUUUCAAAGAAAGCAGCUGCUACAUUUUGCAGAUGCUUUUGUCAGAAGAGUAAGAACAUAAGGUUGCUGCUUUUCCCAUGUAUAAAGCUCACAGUAUAGAAAUGUCUUUAUUCAACUGUUGGUGCAUUUGACCUGAAAUUUUUUGAGGCAUAGAAAUGUCUUUAUUCAAUUUUUAUUUUCUCUUUUUGUUUCACAAAAAAUUACAGGACACGGCAAUAUAGAUGACAUCAUCAGUCUGGAAAGGUAUUGAUGGGUAAGUAAUGUGCAUUGUGAGCAAGUGCAAUUCAAUUUAUUGGUUCCAGUCUUUGGUUUCUUGACAUGGUAAAGAUAUGUUCCUUAGAAUAGCGUACUCUGGGGUAUUCAUCAAGUAAUAUUUCCAGGUAUGAUGCUAAUUAUUUAUCUCGCAUGUUUCAUCAAUGAUUUUAACCUCAUAGGCUUGUAUGUGCAAAAUUUUCACUCCUCAUUUUCUUUUUACAGAUGCUUGCCUUCUGGAUGGAAGUUCCUGCUGUUUUCAGGAAUAACAACUGUUAUUUCUGAGAGGAUAUUUCUGGCCGACUUUCUUUGUUCAUUUCUCCAUUUUGGUCGCUUGCUUCUGCAUGUCGUCGUUUGUCAUCAGAUAUCGGCGCGAGAGAUCCUUCAUCAACAGAAUUAUCCGCUUCCGCAAUCCCUCGGACUAAGAAAACAGACUUUUCGCAAUCCAUCUAUGCGUGUAGAGAAUAUUUCUUUGUGGACUAAUCUGAUUGACAAAUUCUUACAGCAGUUUCUCUCUCUCUCUCUCUCUCUCUCUCUCUCUCUCUCACGCACGCACACACACACACACACACAAACCCAAGAAUGAAGAUGAUGCAAAGUGGCUUUCUUUUUUGUUCCGUCAGCUACACAAUUCUUGUCAACGGGAAUUCCAUUUAUAUUAAAUGUGUGGAUCGUCUGGCACCUUUCAGUUUAGGACUUUGCGGUAACAAUAUAUCCUACUUUCUCCAUCGUUUACUGCAUUUUCGAAGUUCCUGCUUGAUUUUCUCUUAAAUCUUUGUCUAUUUUACAUGUUUCCAUAUAUUUUCUUUUUUCUGCUUUGGAUUCAACUACAACCCACAUGAUAAAAUUUUAAAAUUUAGCUUGUUAGUUGUUCUACCAUUAAAUUGGGCAAUUGUCCUUUUAUAUACUUUCUCAGAACUUGCUUCUGCUUAAACUAAGGCUAGUAGUUGAUACAGUUGCUACUCUUUCCCACUGCAUAACAAUGUUCAUUCUCAUCGUCAAGCAAACUGACAUGGUAAUAAGAGCUUUUAUCAAAUUAUCCUGGCAAUCCUGAUUUAUUGUUCUCUAUAUUCAAAAUGAAACCUGCGAGGAAAUGUGUAAUGAUCUGUUUGAUUCCCUUUUGUCAUAUGAACAUCAUAUGGGUAGUGUCCACUGGUUGGGUUCUUUAACCAGUAAUUUUAUGCUUUAAUGGAACCAUUUUAUUGGUUACUGGACAACGGAACAAAUCUCGUAAAAUAUACUUUUUAACCUAUUAUCCAUCUGAGAGGACCGUGAAGAAAUAAAUUUGUACUCUCAACUCUGCCAUUGUAGAAGAUUCACAUGCUGAGUUUAAGCACUUCUCCAUACCCUGAUAUAUGAGGCUAGAAACCAGUGAACCUGAAUAGUCAAUAUGAGUAGGUAAAGGCCUCUGUUGUUAAGGAUUUAAAUUCUCUGAAGAGGAAGGAUAGUUAAAAAAGGUACAAGUACUGUAGGAAAUUGGAGUGUUUAGAACUGAUGCACCAACCGAACUUACUUAAAGGUUGACCUUGAUUAUUUAUGGUAUUAGAUGCAACUUCUAAUUAUGAAUGAUCAAUUGAUCGGUUGCAGGAUAAAGCGAUUGUAUUUUCAUUGUCACAAACUGCAUAUGGAGUGUGCUUGUUCUUAGGUUAUUGGGUCUAUUUUCUUCUUUUUGGUACAUGUAGAAGUUCUGCUCUUUUCCCCUUCAGUUGAUAGCUUAGUACUUUCACGGAGUAAAGAAUAAGAAGCAUUAUGAUGGGCAGCUGUCUGACAUGUGAAGUUGUUGACACUUCAAUCGUUCAUGAAGUUGAUCCUUCAAGGAGGACAAAGUCUUCUCCUUUUAUG